rnacentral:lncRNA from 1 species
ACAAGAGAUGAAUUAAAAAUCAAAACCACCAUCAAAACCACCAUCAUCAAAGCCAGCAUCAUAUCCAGCAUCAUAAGAAGAAGCAUCAGAAAUCAUAUCUCCAAUCAACAUCCCACCUAAAGCACCUCCAAGCAACCCUGCUCCCAAUCCCAUUCCCAUUUUAUUCUUCUUAGGCUUCUGUGCUUGUGCCCCUGGAUAUCCAUAACCCGGUUGUUGCGGCGGGUAUCCAUAACCCGGUUGUUGUGGUGGAUAUCCAUAACCCGGUUGUUGUGGCGGGUAACCAUGACCCUGUUGAGGUGGAUAGCCAUAACCUGGUUGAGCUGGUGGAUAACCACCAGGUUGAGCCGGUGGGUAGCCACCAUAAGCAGCCGCUGCCGGUGGUGCAGGUGGAUAUCCAUAACCCGGUUGUUGCGGCUGAGGAGGAUAAGGUGUACCAUACGGCACCGAGCUAGACCCAGCUGCCGCCAUUCCAGGUGGAGGAUAAGCCAUCACCGGUUCAUGUUCGUUUUUUCCCUUCACCGGUUCAUGUUUCGACGUUGUUUUCAUCGCCGGAGCUUGGACUUUUUCGCCGAAUUUGUAAGAGAGGUUUAAGUUUCCUUUAGCUUUCCCUGAAGAUGUUCUAACCUGAUAAUUAACCUGCCGGAAAGAAUCUCCGGAGGGGUUAUCAAGAAGCUCCUUGAGAGGGAUAUGAACCUUGCCGAUCAAGGUAUCGCCGGCAACGGUACGAUCGGAGAUGAGUUUGACCUCGAGAGAGAGACGAUUCUGGUUAGCGAGAGAAUCGUUGAUGGUGAAUUUGACGGGGAAGUUCCAUGUAGGGCUUGUUCCACCGUCACGAUGCCUGUGGGUGGUGGCAGUUUGUGGGUUUAAUGGAUCGCCUGAGAUUGAAACGACGGCGUAAACGUCCAUCUUGGAGAAAAGAUUAACAUUUUUGAGAUCUUUAGCGGAUAUGAUGUUGAGUUCUAAGGUUCUAUAUUCCAUGUUCAUGAACAAAGAAAGAUUAAUAAAGAGUUUGAGAUUCGAGAGAUUUUGUGUUGUUGUUGUUUGUUAGGUUUUGUUUUGAUUAAUGAAUUUUGUGUGUAUAAAUAUAACAAGGUUUUGAGAUUUCUGGAUGUUUAUACGAUGUAACAGAAGGUAUUUAUAAUUUGUUACAGGAAACUUCCAGGUAAGUACUUUUUUAUUAGUAUAGUAUUUUACGCGUAACUUAUGUGUUAAUGUUAUUUUGUUUGGAAAAGAGGUUGAUCAUAUUUCUAAUUUUAUUUACUCUGUUAUUUAUCUAUCUGUUGAUAAUAGUUAUCCACAAAUAUGAGAGGCGGUUUGUGUGUGUGUGUUUUUUUUUUAUAUAAUUUAUUUACUCUCAUACUCGAGAUAAAUAAGCCUAUGAAAGUUGACAUUUUAGGUUUGAAACUGUAAUAUUGAUUAUUGAGAUAAACGCACAGCCUUAAGUAUACAUCACAAUACCGAACCCGAAGUUAAUGUUUAGACUUUUAUGUCAAAUCAUUAAUAAUAAAUACUUUAGAAGUUUUUUUUCUUAAAAAAACAAAUACUUUUAGAAGUUUUUGCACAAUACAUCAUAAUAAAAGUUGGGUUUAAUUACACUUUUGGUCCUCGUGUUUUGGCCUACUCAUGAAACUGGUCUUGCCCUUUUAAAAUAUAACAAAACGGUCCUUCAACUAUCAUUUUUGUUGCAUUUUUGGUCCUACCCCCCAUUUUAUUCUCCAAAAACGCAGAGAAAUGACAGUUUUAGACCUACCCCCUAUACUCAACCAUGAAAUAAACAAGAAAUAAAGCAGGUAGGUACAAAGAAUCCUCUUUAUUCAACACACUAACCAAAAAAACCCUAAUUUCUAAGAUAUGUUUCAAAUUACGGUUUUUUGGGUUAAUGUGCUGAAUAGAAUAGAUUCCAGUGCCCACAUGUUUUAUUCCUUGUUGAUUUCAUGGUUGAGCAUAAGGGUAGGUCUAAAUUCGCCUAAAACUGUCAUUUCUCUGCGUUUCUAGAGUUUGAAAAUAGGAGGUAGGAUGAAAAAUGCAACAAAAAUAAUAAUUGAAGAACCAUUUUAUUCUGUUUUAAAAUGGCAUGACCAGUUUCAUGAGUAGGCCAAAACACGAGGACCAAAAAUGUAAUUAAGGCUAAAAGUUGAUAUUUUCCUUUUUCAAAAAAAAAAAAACUAGUUUCUAAUUUUUUCAAAAAAAAAAGAAAAUUAGUUUCUAAUUUUUUUUGAACAAGUUAAAAUGAAAUAUAUUAACAAAAAUUUUGAUCCCUAACAGAUUUUUGUUGCGUGCGCUUAAUUGUAUGUCCAUUUAUUGCAUCUCACGUCUACUUUUUGAUUGAAGCCUUUUAUUAUUUUGACCACCCUGUAGAUUAAUUUGACCAUGGAAGUUGUUGUGAUCUUCUGUGGAUGUACAAAGAGUUCUUUAUGCAAGUUUCCAACACUUAAAAGUGUCUUCUAAACUCCACAAAGUAAAAAUCAAGAGUUUUCACAAAUGAUUGUUUAAGCAAGAGAACCACUAGUAAUUCUGAUAGGUAUUCCUAACACCAAACUCAACACUUGUUUGUUAUUAGAUCUACCAUGAGGCCAUAGUCUCUUUACAAGUUCAUCAAAAAUGGGAAGUAUUUCAUGGGUGAAGUAAAAGAGUUUUCUCAUUUCUAUAAAUGCUUUGUAGAAAUCAAACUCGUUAUCUCCUAGGUUUGGCAAAUCUAUCUUAGUUCUCCCAUGAUUUCAAGGCUUGGACGAUCAUGACCCAUCAUCAUGGAGCAAUGAUUUUAAGGUUUGGGUUAUUAUUUUCCAUUUCAAUUAUGAAGGUUCAGAGACGAAGGAAGAGUAACAACUGAGAGAAUGUACAAAAGGUUUUGUUGUAAAAUUGGAAUUGGAAAUUAUCACAUGUAAGAAAUUAAAGAGAAAUAUCAUAACAAAUAAAUAUGACUAAUAAUAAAGUAAAAUAAAAAUAAGGAACUUAUCGAAUUUAAUUGUCGACAUGGCUCCAUCAAAAUCUUCACAAAUUAAAUUAGAAGAAACCUGCAAAACAAUACACUGUUAUGUAACCUGAGGCGUGACAUAGUCACUGUCCUUGUGGAUUUUAUCCGCCUCAUAAGUACACAUCUUCCCAAGAUACAACAUGUUCUUCCCCGUUAUGAAUCAUAACCAAAGGUGACAGAAUAACUCAAAUUUAUCUCAAAGAUAUCAGGAGAUGUAACCUAGAAACCCAGUUAAAAAAUAUCAUAAAUCAACGAAAGAUUUUUAUUUGUAGAAAUUAUAAAAAGAAAAUCAAUUGUUUGUCUCCUGAGAAGUCACUUGGUUGAGAGUUUCUCUCUUCAACCUCGAGAAACUCGGUUUGAGCUCUGACAUCCAGAAAAAAGAAAAUCAAUUUAUUUAUAAAGAUAAAAACUUCUUACAAAUUUAUAUUAAUUCGAUGAAAUAAAAAGAUUCAUGAUAAAAAUGUCACCUAUCAACUAAAUUUUUCCCUAGAAAAAACUAAAGUUUUAUCUUUCCUUUUAAGAACAACUAUUUUUUUUUUAUCUUAACCCUCUAGAUCAUAAAAAAAAAAAAAGAACAUAGUAAUUUAAAAUUCGACCUGAAAACAAGUAAAAUCCAGGCAUGGAAUUAUUCUAACAGGAAUCGAACUUGGGGUAACUAUUAUUUUAUUUUUUUACAUUCGAAACAAAAAUCAAAUAAAUAAGUAGUCUUUGUAAAAAAAAAUAUAUUUAUCAAUAAAAUCUAGGCAUGAAUUAAUUUUAUUUUGAAUUUUUUAAAUUUACGAGGUCUUGUUAAAAAAAAAACAAUAAAUAAGUAAUCUUUGUAUUCUUCUUUAAAAAAAAUAUUCUACAUUUUGUCAAUAAAAAAAAAAAAAAAUCUAGAUCCGUUCCAAAAAAUAUUCGAGAUACUUCUUAAUUCUCAAACAUGAUUGAUAUUCACCACACUAAGUCACGUGUGAUGCAUAUGUAUGACCAACGCGGGUAGAGUCUUGAGACACGGCUUGGACGCGCAUUUGAUGACGUUGGCCCUAUAAUAUCCAUUUCCAUAUUCUUAAACUUUAAGGAAGGAAGUAAAUUUCGUCAACUCAUGUCUGAUGUUGAUAUUUUAAGCACACUGAUGAGAAUGAUUUUUUAUGUUCUGUAUCAAAUUAUUGCAUUAAUGUUUUUAGUUUUGUUAUGAGUUUUUUCAUAUGAAGGUCAUACGAGUCUUAUUUGUUGGGUAUUGGGCUCCCUUUCUAUGUGGGGAAAAGUUUAAAUAUGUUAGUCAAUUAUGUCUCACUUAUAUAAGUGGAAAGAUGUCAUAUUAUAAUGAAGAAGAGAGUGAUUUUGUGAUGAUAGUAGCCACCAAAAAGAGAGAGAAAAGAAGAGAGAAAGUCAAUAUCGUUUUUAUCACGUCUGUCUCAGUAAAACAAUGAUUUCAACUCGUUAACCGUUGGAUCGGGCUGAUUUCCUGGGUCUACCUUUUCACCGUUUGGAUCGUCGAAACAAGGCCUGAGCUGAGAGAAAUUCGCCACACACAGAAGCAGUACUUUUAGAGUAUUUUCAUCUUUUUGUUCUCAUUUGCAAGCUUUGUUGCUUUGUUGUUUUGGCUAGUUGCUGGCAGUUGGCACUAUUUGUGCAUCAUUUUUUAGACUCUUUUGUACCCAUGUUUGAUUAUAGUGGAUCUAUUUCAUUGGUCUGGACGACUCGUGGUUUUUACCCUUACAGUAAGGGGUUUUCCACAUUAAAACAUUGAUGUUCUCUUAUGUCUUUUAUUUGCUUUCACUGCUGUCGUUUAUUUGUUGUCGCUCCUCAUAGAUUCUUGCAAGUUUGGGGAAUUUUAUUUUCUCUGUAUAUUUUGGUGUGUUGCCAUAUUUAUGUGUUAAUUUCCCAACAUUAUAUAUAUUUAAACAGUAGGUUUAUCAUUUGAAAAUUUAAUUUCCCAUUACAAAAAUUUGAAAAGUAGGAAAGCUCUAUCAUGAGAAGCCAUAUCUGAUUCAUUGUUCUCGUUCCUUUGCCAUAGCAUAGCAUUAGCAUCCAAUCCAAGCAAGCACCUUUCAUGGAUGAAACCAACUGACUUCAAGAAAGUUGACAUUUACUUCACAUGCUUUGUACUUAAUUAUUCCAUAUUUUAUUUAGAAGAAUGAUUACGUAUAUUUAUUAGUAUAAAAACAUAUAUUUUAUUUUUAGGGAAUCAAGUACAUAAUUUUAUAAAAACAAAUAUAUUGAAGUAAUCCCCUAAAAAAAUAUUGAAUUAAGAUUCAAUCGGGAUCAAAUUAGAUACAAGCAUCUUACAGUCAUUCAUAAUAAGAGAGUACAUGUAGUGGGAACAACAUGGAAAAUAAACGGGCGAGGAGGAGAUAAGGCGGCUCUAGCAAUACUAUGAGCAACCUUAUUUACAUACCUCAUAACAAACGACACCAUAAAGUUGUGAUUACUUAACAAGAUAUUUUUACAUUGAACCACAAGGUCUCCAAAUUCAUUGAGGGGAGUAGUAGUAGAGUAAAGUGCAUUCACCAAGGAUCUACCGUCAGUUUCAAAUAUAACAUUAUGCACACCAUUGGAGAUUGUCAUCUUCAUAGCUUCUAGCAACCCAAUGGUUUCCACUUCAAGAACAGUAGCAGAAAUUUGCAAGUAAUAUGAUUUUCCAAGUAAAAUUUGCCCCAAUGAAUCUCGAAAGCACAUACCAUAUACACUACCAUGGAAUUGUUGUUGAAAAUAGAGGCAUCCACGUUGCACUUGAUCACACCAUUUGGAGGUUUCCUCCAUGAGAAGAUGUUGUCCGGCCUUUUGCAUUCAGCUCUACUCGCGGUGAACAUCACGGGCACGAGAUACGAUGGCACUGGGGUAGUAUCGAUAUAUUCCCAUAACUUCAGAUUGCGGCUCUUCCACAAACUCCAAAGAGUCAUGGCAGUUGUUAGCCUUUGAUGUUCUGUUAACCUGUCAAGUAAAUCAAAUAGCAUAGCCGUAAAAUUAUCUACCAUUUGUACCAUAUUUCGGAUCAAGCUGUCAAUACCAAUUAUUUUCCAACAAGUUGUGGCCUAAGUGCAAAUAAAAAAGGUGUGCAUAUGCGACUCCGUAAAAAGAUUACAAGAUACACGUGAGUCGUCACAAGGAAUACCACGAACAAAAAGGUUAGACCGGGUAGGCAAACUUUGAUGAGCGAAACGCCAAAGAAAGGAACGAACUCUCGGUGGGACCUUUAAAUUCUAAAGGAGCUUCCAAGAAGGGGUGAGAUGUGUUGUGGAUGAUUCUUGCAAGAGAUCGAUGCAUAUUUUGUACGCAGAUUUUACCGUAUAGGAGCCAUCAAGUGUUGAAUUCCAGAUACGGCAGUCUUCACUUGGACAGUUAUAAAGAAGAGUGGAGAGAAUGACUGUGGCGUCCGAAUGUUUUUUUUUUAUUUUUUAAAUCAGCAAAUAUUAUUAAACGCCAUCCCCGCAAGACGCAAGGUAUGGACGAAACAAGAUACAAAUGGUGCCGCAUAUAGACGGUACACCAUAACAACCAAACAAGCUCCUGAAGAUAACCCACCAAAUCACAUCAUCACCUAAGACGAACACCUUAACAGAAACAAACACUGUAAAAAAAAAAAGAUUUGUGGUUGCAAUAUUUAUAUUGUGAUUGCAACCACAAAUCUAACAUGGAAACUUUAAAGCGGAGAAAUAGACUACUCUCAAACACAUACCAUCCCCAUAACAUCCACACCCUACAAAGUAAAUACCUAACUACAUCUCACAACACUUUAAGACAAGAGUAUAAGAGAAAUAAAAAAAGUCUGAUAUAAACUUAAAGUAUGACUAGUUCAUUUUGUAAUGAAGAAAUAGAACCUAUAUAUAGGCAUUACUUUGCUCGUCUUGCACUUCGAGAACACAACCCCAUAGCCUACAAUACUUGUCAAGCAAGAAAGUAAACAAACAUAGAAACCAUAUUACUUGUCUUGCACUAAAAGAAACAACGUUACAACCUACAAGACUUGUCAAACAAGAAAGUAUACAAGCGAAUGAGUCUCCUUGGUUGUCUUGCACUUUAACCUCUUCCUUUACAAUUUUAAGCAAUGUGAGACUUCUUAAACAUGUACGUUUUCAACUACGAAAACAAUCUCCACCUUAAUUGAAAAUGAUACAUCUACUUUUAUUGUCUUCACCGGUUCAAAAGAACCAUCAUACUCCACUAAAUAGAGUAUAAUCAUUUUAAGCUAAACCACUUCAAGAACUUUCACAUUGGGAAGCUUCUUCGACAUGUAUUAUGUAUAUUUUCAACCAACACCAACAUACAUUAUGCAUUUCUAGAACUUAUUUGCAUCCAAAACCUUUGAUUACCGUAAAAAAUAACUUUGAAUCAUCUCAUCCAAACAGUAUUGAGUCGGUGCUAUGCAUAUAUGAAAAUAAAUAUCAUGAAAAUAGGGGCCAUUCCUCCCAAGCUCAGCGCUCGGCUCACUUAAAGGACUAGACUUUUAAAUUGCACUUGUAGUGGCGAAGAAAGUUUACACUUUAGAUUGAAAGCAAGAACUUGUGGAUGGUGAAGAUUGCAUAUUCCUUUUCUUAAUGCUUAGACGCGUUGAAAGUUUGUGGUCAAACUGUUGCAUAUGGACUAUGGUCCUGAAUAUUAUCACUUUCCUAUAUAUGUCUAUCAUCUAAUUUUAUAAUAUUGUGGUCGUUAUUAGUAUAUUAAACUGUACUUGCAGAAAAGCACAAUAACAUAAUUUAAGUUUAGACUGUUUAUGAGAUGCAUUGAAAGUGCUCCUAAGGUGGUAUUCAUAGUCUCUUUAUGAGUUUAUUUUAGCGUGACUUCAGUCCCAAGGAAGUUGGGCCUUUGGUCUUUUAGGCGGUUUCUAGAAGCUAAGAAAGGCGGCGUCCUAGGAAGGACGCGCCUAGAUCUCAGGAGCCCUUCUGGAGGGCGUCUGAGCCUUUUUAGAGGACUUUAAGCCUUUCUAGAGGGUUUUUAAGCUUUUAAGAAUAUUAUGACGGUCCAUAAAUCAAAUUUGUGACUAAUUUUCAUUUAAGUGUUUUCAUUCUUCAAUAAAAAAAGAAUGCAAUUUUUUUUCACAAUUCUUUGUGUGUGACUAGAUAACCAAUAUAGUUGCUUCUUUUAAUAUGAAUCACACAUGUAGAUAAUCAUGAUUUAAAAGAUUCUAAAAGAAUCCCCGCUCCCUUUUCCAAAGUUUUGGAUGAGAGGAAGUUUGUGUUUCCAUUCAUGAUUUGGUUGAUAAAGACGAUUUAACAGUGACAAAUUAAAAGGGUAUUGAUAUCAUAUAUAAAAAUUUAGAUUUCAUAACUAAAUACUACUUUGCCUAAAAAAAAAAUAAAAAAAAAACUAAAUACUACUUGUACAUUAUUCAUGUGUUGUGACAAGUAACUUUUCCAAAAAGAAUUGUAUAUCUUGGUUAAAAAAUGUACAUUUGCAUCCCUUUGGAGAUAAAAUCUUUGAUGAGCAUAACCCUAAAUUAAAAUGAUUUGGGCACACUUACAAAACAUAAAAAAAUAAUUGAUGUGAUUGAUUUAUUUUUGUUUUAAUUUUUUUCAUUUUAUGCAAGUGUGUCUAAAUCUUUUUAAUUUAGGGUUAGUGACUGUAUUAGACUUUCUCUCAUUUGGAUCUUCUCUAGAAUCAAUAAAUUCGUUGUUUAAACCCAAAGGCAAAUUAUUUGGAGUUUAACGGAGAUACAUCGACCAUGUAGUUUUACACCGUUGUCUAUUAAGAAUAUAUAAUCUUUUUUUUUUUUUUUUAAGAAACAAAAAUGGAAUAUAUUACUAUGAACACCGUAAUUGUUGAAGCACAAGACGUGCCAUAACAAUCACGAAAAGAUCACAACCCCAAAAUUACAUCAAAGAUAAUCGAUGCCCAUAAUUAAAAGCGGGCUCGACCACCAACUAUGUGUACCAAAAAUAAAGACUAUGUUACUAGCUUUCAACCACCACAAGGUUUGUGAUUUUACUUUAUCUAGCAAUAGUGAUAUAGAACUUUGACGAUUCUGAAAUAAUCUGUCAUUCCGUUCAUUCCAUAAAACUGAAACACACUGAAGCCAAAUCAAAUGAAAGAAGGAACGACAAGAUUUCAAGCCACCUGCAUAUUCAAUAAAUUGCACAAAAUGAUCUAAGAUAGCAUGAGAAUCUACCCCUUCGACACCAAGCCAAGCCCGCACCAUAGGCCACAAUGCAUCAAAAAUUGGACAAGACAAAACAAAUGAUUCACAUCUUCAACCUACCCACAUCCCGUUACAUAAAACCGAGCUUCCACAGAUAGAAUCCCACGUUCUACCAAAUUUGAUUUAGUAGGUAAACGAUCCCUCAACAGUCGUCAAGCCAAGAUAGAAACUUUUAAAGGAACCUGUUUAUGCCAGAUUAACUCCAUAGUUUGAUGAACAUGAGGUCGUUCCUGUGAUGUCAACAUGUCAUAUACACCACGAACAAUAUAACCUUUAAUCUGAUCCGGCAACCACAACCACCUGUCUGUUUCCUGCAAAGAGACUGUUAGUAAUAAAUCCAUACACUCUACUAACAAUUCCUCCUCCCAUACCCAUAAACGACGACGCCACUGCCCCCNCCCCCCACCAUCCUCCACCCCCAACAAAAACAUGUUCCGCACCGUAAUUACUUUAUUGACAGCUAAAUCAUAUAGCCGCCUAAAACGCACACACAACGGAACACUACCACACCAACAAUCUCGCCAAAUAUCGGUAUCGGCUCCAUCCCUCACCCUCCUCCACACAACCUGCAAACCAGCCCUCCCCACCCUCGCCUAUCCCAUCUCUAAUCCUAGCUAUCUCCCUCCACCACGAAGAACAACUCCGGCCCCCAUCCUCCAAACCACCAUCCGCCAUACCAUACCUAGCCAACAACACCCUACACCACAAACCACCCCUAUCAACUAACAAACGCCAACACCAUUUCACCAACAGAGCAAUGUUAAACUCUCUCAACCUCCUAACACCCAACCCUCCAUACUCCCUCCUCAAACACAAAGAACUCCAACCAACCCAAGAAAUCUUUCUUUUUUCCUCACAACCCCCCCAAAAAAAUUUAUUUAACAAAGAUUCAAUAGAAGAGAUUAUACCUGACGGAGCUUUAAAAAAGGAAAGUGCAUAAACAGGAAGCGCAGUCAAGACGGAUUUGAGAAGUAUCAAGACGGAUUUGAGAAUAUAUAAUCUUAUCAUGUAAGUAUAUAUUAUAACUGUUUUUUUAAAUAACCGACAAAUAUUUAAUUUUUAAUGGACGUCAGUAUAAAACUAAUUGACACUGAUUGUGUAUAUUUCUUUUUCUCAAUUAUUUAUUUAUUAGUUAUAGUUUUUCUAAAGAAAUUUAUUAUUACUAGUUAAAAUAGUAAAUAUUAAAUAAUAACCCAAGUGUUAGGGUUCUCUCAACAACAAAAAAAAAAACAUGUGUUAGGGUGUUAGGCUGUUAGCGGGUUGUGUGGGGUUGAAUUUCAUGGAACUCAAUAUUCAAAUCAAUCAAUUGACAUGAUAUGUUAAUAAUAUCUCUCAAUGCUAACAAUAUCUCUUUUUUAUAAGAAUUGACAUGACAAUAAAGAAGUACUUUAUAUAUAUAUAUAUAUAUAUGACCGUAAGUAAAUAUAUUGAAGCAUAAUAUUUUAACGUCGGAGACCAUUUUGAUUAACAUAAUGCAUAAUCAUAUACUAUUUUAAAAUUUCGAUACAAUGAGAGAUUAUUGUAUUUACUCAUUACACAUUCAAGGAUGAAAAUGACCAUUUGACCAGUUAAAUUUAAGCUUCAAUUUUAACAAUUAAAAAAAAUAGAUUUGUGAUUUGAGUCAAGUGAGUUUAUAAGGAUUUGAGUGUCGACCAUUUGUGUCUGGCAUAGUACUUACACUUAAUUUGCAAGAUUUAUUAAAUAUAUAAUUAAGAUUUUAAUGAAUAUGCUCGGUCAAUGUAGAUUAAUUUUACACUGCCAUCCUAUAUGAAUAAACUGUUUCUAUUUGACAUACCAUUAAAUUAGAGUGAAGUGAUUUGACGAAAUACAGAGUUGUUAAUGGAUGACGAACCACUUGAGGUUUAAACAAGUUUGUUAUGCUUGGAUCUCAAUUUGAAUGAAUGCGGGUAAAAUAUGAGUUUGAUUGAUUUUUUGAUCGGUCCAAUGACGGUCGAGGAAACAAAAUUGUGGUUUACGAUGCUCUGGUGUGACGGAGGUCGAGUCUUCAUGGUGGAAGAGGAAAUUGUCUACAAACAUGUUAGCACUUCAACGCUUAAACUAGUAAUUGAAAGAGAUGGUUAUGUGCGGAAUAUGGUAAAAGUGAAGUGUACCUCGAGGGUGACGCUCAAUCUCCCUUAUAUAGGCGCAGAAAGCGCGAAUGGUCUCCGCAAAAUUUGACACCUUCUUAGGAGGCCGUUGGUGAUUGCGUGAACGGUGGUGAUGGAGUUAGGGUGUACUUUUGUGCGGUGAUCUGCACAGGACUUCAGAUGCUCCUUCACCGUGUUUUGCCUUGUUUGUCUUGGGCUUUGACUUAACGUACCUUGCUUUAUUGGGCUUCAAGCUGGUCUGAAACAAUUUGAAUCAUCAGAAAAUUGCUCUUCUCCCUUUCAAAAUUACUCAUUCUCUUAACUCAGCGGAAGUUAACUCCGUCUAAGCAUUUAUCAGCGUGAAUUAUCUUUCGCUGACACUUUUAAGAUCAGUACAAUCACUUUUUAAGCCGAUUCAACUGAUCUUAAAGGUGCUAGCGUGAGUUAACCCACACUGAAAAAUAUCGAACGGGAAUUAACUCCUAUUAAAUUAAGGGAAUGAUUUUCGAAUCACUUAGUUGAACAAACCAUGCGGACCAUGAACAUCCUUGCCUAUUUGCUGGAUGGUGACAAAUUUGUGUAGGUGUUCCCCCCUUUGACACUGUAUUUUGUUGUUUUCCUGCAUAACACCAAUGCAAAUGGCUGGCUUCAUGUACAUUUUGUGACAUAACUAAAGUACUGCUUGCAAGUUGUACUUCGAGCUAUGAUUCUUUUUACUUUUAAAAACUAAAAUUCUAUUGUUUAAUUGACUAGAUGAGAGAGAAAAUAAUGAAAAAAAAUGUCGAAUUUGGGUUUUUAUUCAAUAUAUUUUGAAAAAAUAGUCCAAAAAUGUUUGAGAGAAGCUUAUCCAAAUCAUAAAACUCCCGAAAGGUCAUAAAAAGCAAAACCUGCCUUUCUUUCAUUUUACCCCUUGAUCAUUCUGACCAAUCGUAACUAGAAUUUUUUAUAUUGUUUUUCAAUGGCAAAGAAAGAGUAACGUAGUUAAUUAUUAUUAAUUAAAAUCAUUAUUAUUAGUUAAUAUUCGUCUCUGCUAAAUUCCUGCAAAUUCUCUCAGACGGAGGAAGGAGGUUACAUCGCCGCCAUCAAUGUCUUCUCCUUUCUCCAUCCCCACUUUCUGGUACGUUCUCUUCUCUACCAUUUCUUGCAAAUUUAUGAUGAACCCUAAUUUUUCUCAAGCAUUGUGUGUUGUAGAUAGAUUGUAGUUGGAAGGGAAAGAGGCAAUGGAGGAGGAGACAAGUCAAUGGAAGCAAGCUUUGAUUAAUUCAUCAGCUGGUGCUAUUUCUGGUGCUAUUUCACGGACUGUCACCUCACCUCUUGAUGUUAUUAAGAUUAGGUUCCAGGUCUCUUUCUACUCUUCUUCUUCUUCUUCUUAGGAUUUGUUGCUUAUUGUUUAAGAAUUUAUCAUAUAACUGUGUUGUUUCUAUAAAAAAAACAUAAAAUAAAGUUAUACUCUUUUUGCAUAGACUAUAGUUUUUGAAUAAAUUGAUUUUACUUCGAAAUGAGUUGAAUGUGAAAUGGUUUAUGUUUGGAUAUAUUUACAUGAUAUAUUUACAUCUUGAAACUUUAACAAAAUCAUGGUACUACCUUGAUUUUGUCAAAUUCAAUGCCAACUCAUACACUCACUUCACCAUUCACCACCACUAUGGGGUUGUUUGUUUUGGGGGAGGUUCAACAUAUGGUAUCAUGUAUUUUCACUCAACCCUUUCUUUUUGAAAGACAUAUCUUUGUUUCGAAAGUAUUGUAGUCAUUUAUUUGACUGCAAAUAUUUGCUUAAAAAUAAUUUUCGAUGUUUGUGUGAUGAAUAACAUACACAAGAAUCAACACCAUCUCUGGUGUGGCAAUAUGUCUUUAUGAAUACUGGCAUUUUUUUAUGGUUAGAAGAGCCGACUUUACCUGACAUGCUGAGGCUUGCUUACAGUUUAUCUUGUCUUGGUAAAUUGAAAGAGUGUGGCUAUCUAGCACUGGCUUGGAUUAUGAUGUGCUUUCUAUGCCUGAAGUUUAAAUUAGAAAUUCUGAAUUUCAAGCUAAUUUUUUUUCUUACAUGUCUGAUUGGGAAUAGAGUUAAUGUCGUUUUCCCCCCCUUUCAUUUCCAUGUAUCAUUUUGUUAGAUUACAAAGGGUCUAUUGACUAUUAGAAAAAUGAUAUUCAUUUGCCGGUGAUAAAAAAGAUCUUCAAUUUGCUUUACAUAUCAGGUAUAUCAGUCAUUUUUAUGUGAUUGGCAUCAUUUUACUAAAAAAAUAUGACCUCAGGAUGAUUCCAUUGACAUGGGACUACAUGAUGAGAUUUGUUUAUGCAUGUUGAUGUCUAGAAGUUUUGCAUGAGAUUUGAGGUUCUUUGGUUCAUAACUGGUCUUUAUUGCUUGCUCUAUUAUAAAUGCGAGUAGCAUUAAGAUGCUAUAACUGUUAUUCACAUUCAUUGACAGGUUCAACUAGAGCCGACUUCCUUGUGGACGUCACUACAUAGGGAUUUGUCUAAACCCUCAAAAUAUACUGGCAUGUUUCAAGCAACCAAAGAUAUUUUUAGAGAAGAAGGCAUACGGGUAGAAUAAUUCAGCUUCUGUAAUUUAUUUAUUUUAAUUUCCCCUAUACUCUACUUCCUUCAGUAACCUGUCCCUGUUCCCAUAUCCCUUGAAAAGGUUUUGGACUUUGGCUGAUGGCAACAUUAGCAUUUGAAACAACGCUUGAAUUGCAAAAAAGAUCUUGUGGAAGAUUCACAUCGACCUUUACGCCAUGGAAAAAUGUAUAUAACCAUUUUUAUCUGGCAUAUUAUAGGGAUUUUGGCGGGGUAAUGUGCCAGCUUUGCUCAUGGUUAUGCCAUAUACAGCUAUACAGUUUACUGUUUUACACAAAUUGAAGACUUUUGCCUCUGGUUCAUCCAAGACAGGUAUCCUAAUUUGUAGAAUAUUAGCUUGAUGAGCAAAGUAAACACUAGGUGUUUGUCUACUAAGUUUUUUUGGUUGGAAAUUUGUUUGGAAUAUGGUUAAUGUGACUGGAAGGUCACGGGUUCAAGUCCUGGAAACAGCCUCUUGUGUAAAAACAGGGUAAGGCUGUGUACGAUACACCAAAUGGUGGGACCCCUUCCCGGACCCUGCGUAUGCGGGAGCUUUAGUGCACCAGGUUGCCCUUUUUUUUUAUGGUUUAUGAUUGAAUGUUAUGGCGUACUUUGAUCCAUGUAGCCAUCCCCACUUAGUGGGAUAAGGCUUGGUUGUUGUUGUUGUAUAAAUUCUUCAUGUUUUUUACAGUAUAAUGCUAAAUUAAAAUUUUAUCUCAAUAAUUUAUUUAUUUUUGGUACAAUUUACUAAUAUAUUUUCUGUGCCAAUGUUCACUUUCGAGAUAUUAGUGAUUAAUUAAUUACUGCUGGGUUUCCUGUUCUAGAUUUAUUUUGUUCAUUGUUUUAAUUCCUGUUGCUGCAGAGAAUCACAUAAAUUUGAGCCCUUAUCUAUCCUAUGUAAGUGGGGCGGUAGCUGGGUGUGCGGCUACUGUAGGGUCAUAUCCAUUUGAUCUUCUUCGAACUAUAUUAGCUUCUCAGGGUGAACCGAAGGUACGAGCACUAUAUAAAAUAAUCAAGGUUAUUAUGAGAUAGUUUUGAAAUAAAUUACUGUCACAUAUAUUGGUGUGUUUUAAAGGCCAGUGAAGGAAAAUACAAGCAGCUAUCAUGAUCAACCUACAUUCUCGGUCCCAAUUUGCAUUUCCAUGCAUCAAGCCCAAAGGCUAUUGCCAGAGGGCAUUAGAGAUGUAAUAUAAACCAUUCUUGUGUAUUCACAUAUCAACUUAAGCAUUUGGGAUAAUGGAUUCAUGUCAACUUUUUUUUUCUUCCAAUUUUCGGGCGGGAAAGGAGUGUUCACCUUUGUUUGCUUCUUGUCUACUUAGUGGUAUUUCACAUGGGCUUUUGUCAGAUCUUAUCUCAUGUAUUAUUUUAGUGGCAUAAAAGCUAAGUUAAACCUUAUGUUUAGUGAUCGCCUAGAAAGGCACCACAACAUGGUUGUUUGUUGUAAUGGCAUUAAAGAAGUGCCCAAAAUCUGUUUCCCUAGCUCUGAUCUUAAAAUGGUUGUAUGGAAUAUACCCCACCCUUAGAUUCAUAUGAGAUUAUAAUCAGUAAUGAAAAGGGUUAGCGCAAUGAGGAGUUAUUGCCAUGCGACUGGAAGGUUAUGGAUUUGAUUCACGGCAUUAAUAUCUUGCAGUUGCAAUGUAAGACUGCCUAUAAUAGAUCCAAAUACAUUUGAAUCUUCCCUAAACCUCACAAUUGUAGGAGCUUUAUAGCACCAAUUUAUCAUUAUUAUAAUCAGUGAUGAGCUAAGAAACAUAGAUACUGUAUUUUUAAAAUGGUGGUAGACAUGACUGUCAUAUACGCAUAAAAUUAAAAACAACUAUCAUAUGCAUAAUUAGCCAUAAAUCUGAAAUCCAAAGAAAAAAUAAAAUGAGUUACUGUAAUAUUAUUAUUUAUCUAAUUAUUGUGGUAUUUUAAUCUUAAUUGGUAUAGAAGUCCAGAAGUAAAAAAAAAUGUAAAAUAUAAGUAGAAGUGUCCAUAAAGUGGCGGCGCAAAUAUGUAUUUGACACAGCUAUGACAUGACAACUACUAUUCGCUUCAUUUGUAAUGCACUGCGUUUGUGUUUCACCCUGCAGAUAGGUGGGGGGAACUCAUCUUCUACCCCUAGACAAUAUAAGCUUUGAGUGCAUAGUUUGAGACUUUUAUGGUCAUUGUGGAUUUUUAAUUUUUUUUUUUUUUUUUGUAUUUAUGUUAUGCUAAUAUUUCCCUAGCAUAGGUUUAUCCAAACAUGAGGUCAGCAUCCAUUGAUAUUCUCCAGACCCGUGGAUUUCGAGGCUUGUAUUCCGGAUUGUCACCGACACUAGUUGAGAUUAUACCUUAUGCAGGCCUACAAUUCGGCACUUAUGAUACAUUCAAACGUUGGACCAUGGUAAAAUUUCAGUCCUUCAAUUUGAGGUGUCAGUUUUAUUUAAUUGACAUAAAUAUACCCUGCAUGUAUUGGACGUCAUUUGGUUGUUGUGAAACAACGGUAUGGUCUUAUAUUGUGUCGUACUUAAUAUUCUAGCCUGCUUUUCCUUGUCUUGUCCCAUCAUAUUACAAUCUUCAUUGAUGUGAAAUGAUUCUAGAAGAACUGUAAUGUCUCAAGAUGCGUCAAUUAGUUAUUUGCAAUGAUAAGUUAUUGUUUACAAGGGUUACUUUAUGUUGUCUCAUAUUUUCUUCGCAUGGUUGAAUCUUACAGCAACCGAAGUCUUUUCAUACUACAUUGGAUCAAUCGCAUGAAACAAACAAUGUUGUAUCAUUUCUUGUAUGAUAUCUGGGAAUGGACGCUCAUGUGUAAUUUACACAUGAGAGAGUAAAGUGUAAGCUAUGAGUCUAUGACCAUUCAAACUCCAUCUAAAUUCUUCAUGUGUUUCUCUCUCUUAAUGAAUGGUGAGAGAUUACACUUUACUCUCAUGAGAGGAUCCAUUCCAGAUAUCUACAUAUAGCUCAUCAUUUUAAUCUCUCUUGAUAGUUUCCAAUUUAUUUGGUCUCGCUCUUCCUCUAACACAGUUGAAUCUUCAUUUCACUUUUAGAAACUGCACCAUUAAGCUGGUAAAUUCUACUGUGUAUACUUUUCAGAACUAUGUUUAGAAAUUAUUUUGCAAUAGCUAUUUAUUCUGCAUCAGCAAACCUAUACAGCAUUUCAUAUUCUUAUUAAAGCUGUGUCUGAAGCUCUACACCGUUAAUCAUGUUCAUCUCUAACACCUAGAUUAGGACUUUUGGGUCUGCAUUUCUUCAUGAUUAAAAUAUUGUAAAGAAAGUGGCUGACGAAGAAAGGAAACAUGGAACCGUUAAUACAAAAUUUGGUUCGCUUGUAAAUUGCAACAUCCAUAUAGAUAGAGUUGGGUUCCGCCAUAGGGCUAAUCAAUGCUUUGAUAUUACUUUCUAGCUAUCAAUUAUUUGAUCCCUGUUCUUUAAUAUUGUAUAUAGGCGUGGAACCAAGUUCAAUAUUCAAAUACUGCUGCAGAAGAGAGCAUCUCUAGCUUUCAGCUUUUCCUGUGUGGGCUGGCUGCAGGAACAUGUGCCAAGCUUGUUUGUCAUCCACUUGAUGUAGUCAAGAAAAGAUUUCAGGUAGAUUUAGAACGUGGAAUACAAAAACAUAAAACUAAGUAAACUUGUAUUGGCCUUAAUGUGGAUAUACAUAUGGAUUUUCGUUCUUUGUUUGCUGCAGAUUGAAGGUUUGCAAAGGCAUCCAAGAUAUGGAGCUCGGGUUGAGCAUCGUGCAUAUAGAAAUAUGUUUGACGCCUUGAAACGGAUAUUACAGAAAGAGGGUUGGGCUGGUCUGUAUAAGGGGAUAGUCCCGUCUACUGUUAAAGCUGCACCAGCUGGUGCUGUAACUUUUGUUGCAUAUGAAUUGACAUCAGAUUGGCUGGAGUCUAUUUUGACUUGAUUUUUUAUACACUCCAAGAUAAAGGAGAGGGUUUCAUGGUUUUUUUUUUUAAUCAUGCUGUCUCAAUUAAUUACCUCUUGAUAGGAAUGAAUCAUGCGGUAUAUGGUGGUUUAAUUCAAUCAAAAUAUACCUGAUAUGAUUCAAUUUACUUUUCAAUAUGGAAACAGUUUAAAAUAAAAGCUAAGAUGUUGCCUAGUGACACAUUUUACUUUUACUAAUUGGUGUGCUUCAGCUACUGAGAUGGUUAUUAUUCUUGUUAAGGUGAUUUUAAAUUCAAAAUUUAUCCAAAAUUUCACAGCAUUUCCUUCUUUCAACUAUAUCUCGGACAAAUCAGGGUUUCAAGAUUUAACAUAUGACAGGUUUUGCUUAAGUCGGAAGUGGUUAAUAUUCAUAUUUUCUAACAUCAGAGUCCACCAAAUGGUUUCGGUAUUUGAUAUAGUGCCUUUUCCCAGAUAAAACUCAAGCUCAAUAUGCGAGUGAUAUAAUCACACAAGUUAAGAACAUAAACAUAUAUUUAUGAAUUAUGUUGCUAAGCAAGAUCUUAAUUUGCUUAUAAUAAUUUAUAAAAGAUAAGAGGCUUUCAUUAAAGCAUAUUGUUGUGAAACACAGAAAAAUGAACACACAAUCUCAACAAAUGGGUUACAACCCUUAUUACAAUCAAUUCCCUCUCAAAAGUUAAUUUCCAUCACAACAAUCAAACUUAAUUGUUGAUAUUACAAGUCUUUAUAAAAAAACCAAGGACCUUGGCCGCACUAGUGCUUCUUAAUACAGUGAUUACAGUUCAAUAAAGACCUGAGGCUAGAGUACUCGGCAUUCACUUAUCUGUUGAAAACAACCAAGUAUACUUUUCAAUAGUCAAAACUUAAUCCACAAUUCACUUCAAAUCUAUUUAGAACAGCCUUUGGUCAGAUAGGAAGCAAUUAGCAAUGCUGUGGUAAAGCCAUUUAUCUCAGUGUUUUGUUUUUAUCUUCGCUUCUUCCUUCUGGAGGAUGAGACAGAAAUUGCAAGAUUUUCUGAAUCUGACCAACAUCGACCCGGAAUUUUUCUGCGAUCUGAUGAACAUCCAUAGGCCCAUUGUGGUCAUCAGCCUUGCCUUCAUGCAAGAGGAUGAUAUGGCGCAACUGUGCUACAUUUAAAGUGCCUGCAGGAACCGGCCUUUCCUCAUAAUGACCAGAAUUUGGUUUUGUAUUUCGCAACUUCGGCAUGGGCCUAUUAUACUUCUCAACCACAGAUGCCUGUAAAGAUAUUAUCAAAUUGUAAGAUAGGUUUGUCUCAGUAAACUAUGCACUAAAUAGUAAAGAGCAAUGCGUUGACAAUUGAAACUAUGCAGUCAUUGAAAAAAUAUAGUUUGCAAAAACUUCCGAAAGGGUUUAUUUCUCUCUCUUAGUAAAAUAAGCUUGAUCCAAGCAAAUACCAAGUACGCUGCAAAGCUUAGUCUAAUUGUUAUGUUCCUAUAGCAUUGUCCCAGUACCAUGAAUAAACAUUGACAGAAACCAUAAACUCGGCAUUUACUAUGAACACUGGAGAGAUUUCUCCAUUUAUUGCAAUAUUAGAAACAUAAAGUAUACAGCAAAGUAUUUUAAGCAAAAUAUCAGCUAGUAACAUACAAUCGGAGGUAGGAUUACUUUAGCAAAUUUCUUUUCAUUAAAACUAUAUUUGAAUUAAUACAUGAUAGGAAACUAUGAAAUCGUCUGACAUAUGUAACCAAUCCCGGCUUGGAGGUUUAUUGUUUGUGUUCCUUUCAUCUAACAGCACAAGCCAACAUACAAAAAUGGGAUUUCAUCACUCAUCAAUGCUGAUAAUACCAUCUUCUAAGCCAACAUACAAAAAUUUUUAUUGUUUGAAUUAAUGCCAUCUUUCAUUUAAUACAAUUCCAUUGUAGGUGUAAAUAUCAAAAUGGGUAAGCAUACAUGACAUACGACAUUAAAAAAAAUUACAUCGACAUGAACUCCAUAAAAGGGAGUGAAGGUAACUUCCACAAACUCACCUCACCCAUUUCUCGUUUUCCCCCAGGCUUUGAUGUAAUCCUACCAAGCAUUUGACCAAGCAUAGCAUCAAAUUUGGGAUCUUUUUCUUCUAGGACGUUGUCCAAAUUAGCACUAGGACGAUCAUCUUAAGUCAACACAUGAAAACACCAUCAACAACCAUGAACUAUGAAAGUAGCAUUACAAAACCUCACAUAAAGGUAUAUUGCAAACACACAAUUGUGACUAAGGGAAAACUUCACAGUUAAAAAUAAGCUAUAGGCUACAGCUAGAAAUUUCACAGUUGAAAAUGCAAUGAAGUGGAAGAUUUCAAAGUUCAUGUUAAUUUGCUUGAUAGAGGAAGGAAAUGGACACACGAUUGAAAAUCUACUUCUAAAUAAUAGCCGUUGCAAAGACUAUAAUAACUUUUUUCUUUUGUUACAAGUGCGUGAUGAAAAGUUAAUUCUAACUGUCUCAAAAUAUAUUGUGCUGCAGUUAACUAUUCCACAAUUUGAUUGAAAUUAGAAACAUAAAGUGUAAACUGUAAACUAUAGUUUCACCAAAAUAUUCACCUCUCCAUUUUCUACUACCUCUGUUGCACGGACACUUCUGAUUGAAGACGUGUCCCGGUGUCUGACACAUGUCCUGUCUGACACCAACACGACACACACCAACACGACACACUGACACUUGUGAUUACAUUGAAUUAUGUGAUUUUCUCAAAAUUUUGUCGAUGCCGUCGUGGCCGUGUCAGUGUCUAUGUCCGUGCUUCAAAGUCUACUACCUAUUUCAAGCAAAACCAAGCUGGUCCUAGGUCAUGGAUAUAGUUUCAUGUGAAAAGAUACAGAGUCUAUUUGGGUUGGCUUAUUUGAAGGUUAUCUACUAAUAUAAGUACAUGUGUGGCUGUUUGGGAUAUCAUGUGAAAACAACUUAUGACAUGACCAUAAGCUGUUUUCAGCUUAUUUCCACAAGCUAUCCAAGACAGCUAACAACUUAUAAUCUAAAUGAAAACAUAUUAACUUCAUUUUAUCCUUUGUUGUGGAAAUAACUUGCACAUAAGCACUCAUAUGGUAAGCAAAUAUGCUAUAGUAAGUGCUUAAUGAAAUGGUUUAUCUCAAUGGUAAAUUAAAAAACAGAACUUUCAACUGAAUAAUGAUAUUCACAAACCACCACAUUGUUCAGGGCCUUAGAAUCUUUGAAGUACCCAAUAACAUUUUCGAAUAUCUACAAUGGCAUAACCCUAACCAACAAAAAAUUAAAACUAGAAACAAAGAGAAAGAGAGACUAACCAUCGUUCAAUGAGUCUUCUACUCCUUUUACGGUCUUUGAGCUAUCUGCUGCCUUGUCAGUGGCAACCUUCGGCGGCGGUGGUCGGUGGUCGACGGCGAUCUUGGGCUUGGACAAGGAUGACGUGUCAGUUUCGGAUGCGGCACGGAUUCUGCCAGAUGCUCGACGAAAUGCCUGACCCAUUGUUAAACUCAGGCUUAUUGUUGUUCGCUACGAAAUUCGAUUGAUUAAUUCGUUAUUAUAGUUACAACCGUAAACAUCAUUGAAAACUAUGAAAGUUUGUAGUUGUUGUAGAAAAAAUAGAACCCCUGCGGUUUGUUGUUGUUGUUCCUGUUCGUGUUUACAAAGAAUAGCAUCAACCGAGAGUGACGUGGCCAGAGCCUAGAACGCAAGUUUAAACAACAUCAAAUUUAUUUAUUUUUGCUUAUUUUUAAGAGGUAAACAAUUACUUCUUUUUUUUUUUUGUCAAUUUAUGAAUCUUGUUAGUAAUAAAUUUAAAACUCAAAUUGAUAUAAUCCAAAAGAUCACAUAAAUUGUCUAUAUAGUAAAGUCAAGACAUCAAAAUUAAACCAAGACUACAUGCAUAUAAAACUCAAAUAUAUGUAGGAUUUGAUUUCACUCCGAGAACGGGAAUUAUAUAUAUUAAAAAAAAAUUCUACAUUACCCUCAUUUGUUUAGAGGGUAUUUACCCAUUCAAGAUAUCAACCAAUCAAAAUGUAAUAUACAAAUGUAAAAUUAAAUGUCAAAUAAAUGAGUCAAUUUUUCUAUAAAAAAAUCAAUUUUAAUAAGGUAACUUUUAUUUUUUUAUUUAAUUAUAUUUAAGUAUACAAUAUUAAUUAAUUUACACUAUAGGCUUGUGACAAUUAAAAUUUCACAUCAAAUUCAACCCAUCAGGAUGUGUUUGGUAACACGAAUUAGCUAGCUUAUAGCUUGUUGGACUAGCUUAUAAGCUUGUUUUGAUAUAAUAAGAUGUGUUUGGUAAAAAGCUUUUGUCACUAGCUUAUAGCAUUUUUUUAGAAGUUAUUUCAAGUAGCUUUUGAGCUUAUAGCUGGUAGUUAUUUUAUAUUUUCUUCCAAUUUUAACCCUAUUAAUUUAAUUUAAUUAUGUUUUAAUAAAACAACAUGUUCAUGGCUUAAAAAUAAUGGCCAAGUUCAUAGCUUAUUUUUUUAAUAAAACAACUGCCAUGUUUUCUCCUUUGAAAAAAAUUGUCAUGCUUUAUUUUAUUUUUUAAUGAACGCUUUAUAUUUAAAUAUAACUAGCUUACAGUACGUUGUAAAAUUUUAUAUAUUCUUGCUUGCAUUUUUUUUUCCACCUUCCUCUAUUUUUGGGAUUCAUAAAAGUACAUAUCAAUGAGCUUUUGCCCUCUUUUGUACAAAAAAAAAAAAAAAAACAGAGAUCAAAAUUGUCGGUGAAAUUUUAUUGGAGACUAAAACCAAAAGUUUGAAUAUUUAUAGGGAAUCAAAACAUAGUUAACCAUAAAUUAAAAUAUUAAAAAAUAAAUACCUUAGAAAAAAUGUGUGUAUAUAUAUAUAUAUAUACACAUACACAUGUACUUUUAUGUCAUUUUAUAUUUAUCAGCCACUUCAACAUCUAAUUUUACCAAACACUUCAAUUUUAAUAAACCAUAUUUUCAGAUAUAAGCUAUCAGUUAUAAGACAUCAACUAUAAGCUAGUUUUUCAGCUUUCAGCUAACUUAUAGCUUAUUUUUUUACCAAACACACCCCACAUACGUUCAUAAAUUUUGUUCAGUUCCAAAAUAUAGAACAUACAUAACGUGCAAUUUCUUCUUCAUUCUUCUUCCCAUCUUGAUUGUUCAAUUCUCUCGUUCCAGAAUUGCCGUCGUUUCCAUUUAUCGUGAGAAUCGUUUUCGUCCAUUUGAUUCCAGACAUUGUGAGAAUCGAUGUUGUUUCCAAAAGCUAUAUCCACAAAUUGCUCACGAAUUAACGCUCACCAUAUGAAAUUCAUGUUUGUAUUAGCAUUAUUUAUUAUUUAUUUAUUUCAUUUUGUCUUCUCUUCCAUAGCUUUAACCGACCUCACACCGUGUUCGCAAUCUCAACAAAUUUUCAUUUCAGCAACACAAAAUUCACCAGCAGGAUCAGAAACAACAUAACAACAUAAUAUAAUGAUUUGAAUAAAACAAAUUCCAAAAGUAAAUUUAAUAAUCAAUAUUGUACCAAAAAUAAAAUUAAUAAUCAACGCAUUGAAUCUUAAUCAAAUGCAAAAUGUGUGAUAAAAUACAAUUUUAUAUAAUCUCAAACAACUCAAUCAAACUCAAAACCCAAAUAAAAAUGAAAACAUCAUGGGAAUUCAUGUCAAAGUUGAAAGUCACCAAUGUCGCAUUAUAAAUGUGUUUUGGUUGCAAUCAAGUCACGACAGUAGUGAGAAAGAAACGAAAAUGAAAAAUCAAAUCAAGAAGAAAAAUCAAGUCACGAUACCUUAUGUGAUUAUUGAAACAACACCAAUUACUCACAAUGUCUGGAAUCAAAAGGACGACAACGAUUCUCACGAUAAUUGAAAACGACGACGAUUCUCGAACGAGAAAAUUGAACAAUCAAGAUGGGAAGAAGAAUGAAGAAGAAAUUGCACGUUAUGUGUGUUCUAGGUUUUGGAAUGGAACAAAAUUUAUGAACGUAUGUGAGGUGUGUUUGGUAAAAAUAAGCUAUAAGUUAGCUGGAAGCUGAAAAACAAGCUUAUAGCUGAUGUCUUAUAACUGAUAGCUUAUAUCUGAAAAGAUGGUUUAUUAAAAUUGAAGUGUUUGGUAAAAUUAGUUGUUGAAGUGGCUAAUAAGUAUAAAAUGACAUAAAAGGACAUGUUUAUAUAUAUAUAUAUAUAUAUAUAUAUAUAUAUAUAUACAUUUUUUCUAAUGUAUUUAUUUUUUAAUAUUUUAAUUUAUACUUAACUAUGUUUUGGAUCCCUAUAUAUAUUCAAACUUUUGGCUUUAGUCUCCAAUCAAAUUUCACCGACAAUUUUGAUCUCUACUUUUUAUUUUAUUUUUUUACAUAAGAGGACAAAGGCUCAUUGAUCUCUAUAAGCUAGCUUAUUCGUGUUACCAAACACAUCCAUGAUGGGUUGAAUUUGAUGUGAAAUUUUAAUUGUUACAAGCCAUAUAGUGUAAAUUAAUUAAGAUUGUAUAUCUAAAUAUAAUUAAAUAAAAAUUAAAAGUUAUCUUAUUAAAAUUGAUUUUUUUUAUUAGAAAAAUUGACUCAUUUAUUUGACAUUUAAUGUUACAUGUAUAUUACAUUUUGAUUGGUUGAUAUCUUGAAAGGGUAAAUACCCCCUGAACAAAAGAGGGUAAUCUAGGCCUCACCUAUAUUAAAUGGAUGGCUUGCAAAAGAGUUCCAUCACCACUAAGGUACACCUAUGCCUAUUUUUUUUUUAAAACAACCUAGUUCUUCUGUACAUGGAAAUAGAUUAAUGAUCUUAACAAUCAUGCUCAGAUAUCUUUCAAAAUUCAUCCAUUCAUGAUUACAUUAGAAUAACAUAGGCUUUCAGGUCAUUGGAUACAACAAACAUUUUAGUUGCCGCCACUCAGUGUUUGAACAAUGGUGUUGUGCCAUGGGUCUGAAAGGUGCUCCAAGAGGUUAUCAAAUCGUCCUUUUCCUGUGACAUUGUGCUGACUGAUAAAUCCCAAGAAUGCCAACAUUGCCAAUCUACCGUUAGAAAUUUCCUUCUCUUUAGCCUCCAAAGUUGGUGCAAAGUUCAAAGGGUUAAAAAUUCCACUGGGGUAACCAACCUCACCCUUUGGCAAGCUGUAUUGCUUGAAGAUAGGAUCUUGGUUGCCUAUUUUCCAAGUGUUAAGUCCUGCAAUUUUCAAGCAUAAUUAAAACAAUCACUAUGCUACAUAUACCAAGACUAUUUCAAAAUAUUUAUCUUAUUGGGUUCAGUCUUUUCUAUCAAGCAUUUUGCUAAUAUGAUCAUGCAGAGUAAUAUAGCCUUGCAUAUACUAAAUUUGAUCAUUAGAAUUCAUCAGAUGGAAAAGAUAAGCAUUAUGGUAGCAGUGCACACCUCCUUCACUUAAGUGACAUUGAUAUAGCAUUAGGCUUAAUAUGACCACAUAUAGAUUUCAUUUAUAAACUUUGACAGAAAAGCAUGGUCAUAUAUAAUGAAAAUGGUUUUAGCUACACAAAGUGACAUACAUGUGCAUAAUUUUAUAUUUUUAGAGUAUCCUUCUUUGUACUAUAUAAUACUAUAGCAGCACUUUGGUUGAUUUGACUUAAUCAAAAUUAAUAUAGCAACACUUUAAUUGCAAGGACAAAGCAGAUCAACAUCAAUUCAUCAUCUAAUACAAUAAGUACAUAUUUAUAUCAAUAUGCAUUCAUGUAGAAAACAUGUCAGAAAUAAAAUAUAUAAACUAUAGUUUAUAAACAUCAAAAUACAUGCUGAUUUUCAUUAUGUUAAAAUACUAAAUUGAAAAUAUUAGGUACACAAAUUGUUAUAAACAUCAAAAUCAAAAUCAAACUUGAAUUGGAAUAGUAUAACUAAUAUUGGAAUUGUCAAUGAAAUCGUAAAACAAAAUCGAUAUUAAAUCGAGAAAGAACAAAUUGAGUAAGAAAUUGAGAAAGAACAAAUUGCAUACCUACAUGGACGGUGGUCUUCAUAUGACGGUGCCAGAAGCAGAGGCGAUGAGGGUUUUAAAAACUUGGGUGAUUAAAAUUGUUGUGGUUACUAGUGAAAACGAUUAGGUUUUCAAUGAUGAAAUUGAAAGGAGGCGAUGGGAGGAGAAAUGAGAGAAGAGGCAAAUCUACUUUUUCCUUUUUCAAAAUAAAGAGAAAGAGAACGCUUAACCUGAAGAAGAAAGGGGACAUUGGAAACUGAUAAAAUAAUUAAGCGUGAGAAAUAAAAGCGUGAGAAUCAAAGUGGAAUGUUGAUUAGGAAUACCACUUAGAAGGAUUUAAUGCUAUCACAAUGGAGGGAAAAAUUAGAGUUGAAUUAGGGUAAAUGAUAGCUUGACCAAACAAGAGAAAGAUCACAAUGGAGGGAAAAAUUAGGGUUGAAUUAGGGUAAAUGAUAGCUUGACCAAGCUUUAGUAAGAGAGUAUUGCUGUUGACACAUUAUGUUUGGCUGAGAAACACCAGUAAAAUACCAAAAUACCCCCUCUGCAGUUAACUGCCGAGCAAAAAUAAAACCGGCUGCAGUUAACUGCCGAGGAAAACCUCGGCAGUUAACUACCGAGGAAAACGAAAAUCCAGAAUUAUCAUCAUCAUGUUCAUGCUCAUGAAAUUUUUGGAUUUGAUUGUUGAUUUAAUUGUGAAUUGGGAUUUGAAUUGAUUUUUUUCCUGUUAUGAGUCGAAAUCAAGAUUUAAUGUAGAUUUAAAUCUUUCUAUGAAGUGAACAGCAGGAAGUACAAAGAAUCAAUUAGAAGCAGUUUCAAAUGGAAAGGCAAUAAUUAGAAGCAAUUUCUAUGAAUUGAUUUGAAUCUUGUUUAUGCCACCAAUAAGCAGUUUCAAAUGGAAACGUAAAAAUUAGAAGCUUUAUUGUUUCCCUGUGAAUUAUUUCCUUUUGUUGUUUAACGGAAAAUGUAGACUUAAUGGUUGAAAGUAGAUUUGGAUCUGCUUCUGCAACGAAAUCGGUUGAGGGGAGGCAGGAAGUUUGAUCGAUUUGAGCUUUGAAUUGGGGUUUAUCACCCCCACUGACAACGAAGAUGAUGAUAAUUUAUGCCAAACAUGAUGUGUCAACAGCAAUACUCUUAGUCAGAAAGAUAAGCUUAUAUGACAAAAAAAAAACUUGUUAGAUAACUUAUUUUUCUUACAAUCUUAUAUCUUAUUUUUCUUAGUUUAUAUAUUAUCAUUUUUUAUGUCCUUUUUAUCAAUCAUACAAAUUAAAUCUGGUAGUUUAUCCGUUAUAAGUUCACUUAUGGAUAAUAAGUUUAUAUCGAAUUACUUAUGAGUUAGUUUAUUAUCCGCUGUGUUUUGCCAAAUAGAGCUCUAAGACACUCUCGCUAAUAAAUAAUUAGAACAUUUUAUUUCAUUUACAAUUUUAUGAAUAAAUUUCUCUAAGAGAACACAUGAUUGUUAAUUAAAUUACUUAAUAAAAGUUCGUAAAAUAUAUCUCAACUAAAAAUGAUGCGAUUGUUGGACCGGAUAUUUUCUGAUGUUAUCCGAGUUUAAACUAAGGAUCUUCCUUUGUGUGUUUUAUGAGGUGAUUGAUAAUAAUAACUAAUAAAAAAAUGUUUAGGGCUAAACCCUAAACCCUAACAAAUAUCUAAUUAUCAAUAAAUGAUUCUAUUGUUCAAAAUCAAUUUUGAGGAUUUAAUGGAUCUGAAUCCUAUAGAGGUCACACCUUGCAGGGUCAGUAUGGAUGGAUUUGAAUUGGAUAUGAGUUUAGAAUUUAUCUCUCUUAUAUCUUACAGCUGAGUAGUAGAAUUUUACAGUGCAGUUAAACUACAACAUCUUAUUAUAAUAAAAAGAAAAUCAAACUACAACAUUGGCUUUCCAUCAGCUUGUUGUGUGCAUGGUGAAUCUUACAUUCGCCUCCUCUUCUUGCUCGUAUCCUCUUCAUACUUAUCGACAACAGCUUCCAAUGCUCUCUUUGUUGGUUUUGAAGGUCUUCUACUCUUCCUCGGAGUUUCUACAGCUUGAUUCCCGAUGUGACCCUCUGAUGUUGGAACUGUAACAGCAUUAGAGUCAUCAAAUUUGACCUCAGCAGGAACUUCAUUCACCAUAGUUUCAUCACCAUCAACUUUUUCAAAGGUCACUGCUAAGUUAAGAUCAAUAGUAGUUUCUACUGAAGGAGUUUUUUCAAAGUUGGCAGAUGCUCCACUAGUGCUCCCCUUAUCCAAGUACCUUACAGCAACGUAAUCGGAUUCCUUUAUCUGCUUCCCUUUAGAGUCUUUUCUAUCAGAAUCAUUUUUCGAAGCAGGAUCUUUGAUUAGUAGAGGGUAUGCAGCAACUUCAUCGAGGAGUUCUUUGAUAGAAUCAAAAUAAUCAACACCCUUCACGAGUUUCCUCGAAUAUUCUUCAAUUCCAGGGACAAUGAAAAUUAUAGCACUCUUAUUAGAAAGAAGACUACUAGGUUGCUCUGAAUGCCAACCGUUUGCUAGUAAACGAGGCCAAACAGACUCCCAGAAAAUGUCGCUUGCUUGCGUCUUGCUUAUUCUAAAAUCACCUGAAAGGAUGUGUACUAUUUCUAUAUAUGAUGUAAUCUUGGAGAAAUCUUUUUCUUCAAGAAUUUCAUAGAUAGACUUCAUAGCAUUUCCUUCAAGAUUUGUAGGAUCAUUUUGUGUACCAAUUCCUACUGCAUCGACAAAAGCUUCAACUCCAACUACAUCCUUCAAAGCAAAAACGUAGUCUUCGAGCGGCAAUUUUCCUCCCCAAAAAUUCUUACACACCUACAAAUUCCAAUGUGAUUGAAUUUAGUUUUAGCAAAUAACACAAUUGUAAGUGAACAUUCAUUACAACAAUAAUUUGUCAAAAAAAUAAAUAAAUUCAUUACAACAAUAAAUCUAAGCCAACAUACUAGAAAAGGGUUUCAAUUUGUAGAAGUGGUGUUCCAAUGGUAUAUAGACAAGAAUAAUGUGAGCUAUUUGAUCAUGAAUUUAGUAGGGAUUUGGAUCCUCUGCAUGCAACUAUGCAACAAUAUUUUGUUUAACCAGAACAUAAUAUUGAUGUGAAGUGAUAACACUUUUUCACAUGAAAAAUAUUGUCACACUAUUGUAGCAGGGGAGAGGAUUCAAAUUCAUCUAUGAGUGAUGUGUUAGUACUGUUUAUGAUUUUAUGUAAUGAUGAAAUGAAAUAGGAUAUAUAAACUUAGGAAUAAUUCAAUGCAGUAAUUACCUCGAAUAUUUUAUUGCACCAUUCCUCGGACUCAUUGUUGAGUAAAUGACGCAAAAUUUGUUGAUGAUGUGUUGGUUCUGACAUAAGUUUUCCCUUACCUUCAUUAUCUUUUAUUGCUUUCUUAUAUGCAUGCCACCUUAUAUGAUUCUCUGACUUGUAGAAUUUUGCAUAGUAGAAAAAUUGUACUUCACCUAUGGUCUUGCUACCAAUGAAUCUUUUCAGUUGAGAAAAGUUUUUGCCAAAUAUAAACAAUCCAAGCAUUAAACUGUCUACUUCUGGUUUAGUCCAAGUAUCAUUUGAACAUUUGUUGAAGGUAGGUGUCUUUGUAGUAUCAUCUGGACUCUCUGGAGAAUAAUUGCAGUCGAAUUUCAAUAUGAAAGAUGGAAUUUCUGCUUGGUAUUUGUUUCCAAUCCGAAUUAAUUUUUCGUCUCUUUGAUCUUCAAUGUUAUCAACUUGAACCAUAGUUUUCUGUAAAAAUAAAUUAAAUAAAUUUUAAGAAGAAUAAUUUUAAGAAGAUUGUAAGCAAUAGAAAAAUCUUGUGUAUUUACUAAAGUCAUGCAUCUGAGACCAUCUGAAUAAAAUUAUACGAUUAAAGUUUCAACUACAUUUAUGUGAUUUAUGAAGUCAAAAUGUGAUUUAUGAAGUCAAAAUGUGAGAUGUAUGAUUAUGACAAUGACAAAUAUGUGCACUCACUCUAAAAUAUAGUAUUUAUUAAUGAAAAUAAUAAAUGUGUGUGAUUUUCAACAAAUAAAAAUGCGAGUUGAUAAAAACCUAAUGUAUGGUUCUCAACAAUCCGAUACUACUAAGGAGAACCCUAAUUCCUACACUCAAUUUUUCAAAGGUUUUACAAAAAAAAAACUACUACCUGACACUGACUAUUAAUGAAAACUACUAAUGCGAGUUGAUAAAAAACUACUAUUAAUGAAAAACAGUUUCAUCAAAAUAUUGCCAAAAGAUAAUUCUUGGACAAGGGAAAACCAUAACCCAAACUUAAUCAAUUAAUCAAAUCAGUUCUAGUAAAAAAAAAAAAAAAAAAAAAAAAAAAUGAAACAUGAGGAACCGCGAUCAGAAGUCUAUGAAUUUACUACAAAUCGAGGAAUUUCAAUGGUCAUGUUUCUCUGAGCAAAGAAUCAAUCACUUCAAAAAAUGGUAUCAUUCAAAGAAAAAACUAUAAUCGAGCAACAAUCAUUGAUGAAAAAUAAUUAAAAAUAUAUACAUCAAAACGACAUAGAUAAAAGCAUGAAGAAACAUAAUAGCACAGGCACCCCAUUGGGGUUUUCGGUGAGAAAUAUAAAUAAAAAAAUAAUCCAAUGCGAUCCAAGAUUUAGAUUAUUCACUCAACAUAAAAAAGAAAUCGAUGACAUAUUCACUACAUUAAAUUGUACAACUCCAAUCAAAGCAUGGUGGCAAAGCCACAAUACUAGAAGAAAAAAAGGAAAGAAAAAAAAAACCUAAAAGGUGAAAGAUAAAACGAGGAGAUUCGUAGUAUUACCUCCGUUGUAGAAGCUAGAGAAAGCUCUAGAACGAUGAAGAAGCUAGCUUGAAAAGGGGUGUUUAUCGUUACACACCUAGUGAAUUACAAACAAUGCAAAAAACAUGAACAAGAAGAGUCGUCUACAAGGACACAAUGCACAUAUACGACUUAGUGCAAUUUGAAGGAGGGAGGGAGGGGGAGAGAGAGGGGGAGAGAGAGAGACUUGUGUGCGUUAAGGAAGUAACGCCUUGGAUGCGAAAGAAAUAUAUGUAAUGAGUAGAAAGAAAGAAAACAAAUAUGAUGUAUAUACCCACGUAUAAACGAAAUGCUUAGUUUUGUUUUUUUUGUUUUUUUUUGCGUUAACUAUUCGAUUACAGGAGAAAGGGGUCCUGAUAAUCCAAAAUUUGGCCAUGAGAUAAGGAUAGCAUGACCAAAAAUUGUUUCACCUAGGAAUCGAACUUGGGAACAAUUCGUCCUUGAUGAAGUUCAUUAACCACCUAAGCUUCCGAUUAUACAUUUCAUUUAAACUAUUAUAUUUUUAAUUUUACACUUUUUAUAAUAUUGUUUAAAUCUUUUAAUUAAAAAAUUAGAUAAAUGUUAUUGUAAUAAAAAUAAUAUCACUACAAAAUUAUUUUAUUCUAGCCAUUACGUUACUUGACAAAAAAAUUAUAUUUUAAAACCAAAUCUUCAUCCGUUGACAUUUGAAGUUUAAAAAUCUCUAUGCAAAUGUGGACGAAAGACUAAAAUAAAGUUUAAAAAAAAAUAAAAUAAGGGACUAUCAUUUCCUAAAAGUAAGUCAAGGUAAUAAAGAAAAAGUUUUGCCUUCUUUUUUUAAAGGAUAAUGAGGGGCAAAGGCAUCAAAAGAGGAAAACAUCUCAACUAUGAACUACUAUUUAAUUUAAAUAAAAAUGGAAAUCAUAGAAUGGAAAAUUAUUAAUUCUUAAGUAUUUGGUUUUUUAAGUAAAAAAAUAAAAAGUAUCGGGUGUCUUAAAAAAAAUAAAAAGUCACAAUCCAACAAAUAAUUGAAACUUAACAUAAAGUAUACAACACUUGCUAUUUCUCAAUGCUAAGAAUUUAGCAUUACAACCUCAAAAUACCGAGUUCAAAUCUCAUUUAAAGAUAGAUAUGAUAGGUUGUUUGAUCUUCCUGUUAAUAAAUUAUCCACAAUUGUGGAGAUGUUCUCUUUAGGGUGGAAAAUAAAUGGUAAGGCGUGGGAGUGGCGUAGGAGUUUGUUUGCGUGGGAGGAAGGGUUGGUGAGGGAGUGUGCGGAGCAACUGUCACUUAUUGUUUUGUAGGUUGGAUGUGACUGAAAUGUGGAUUUAGAAGCUUCAUUCUUUCCAUCAAUACAUAGUCAAAAGUGCUUUAUAAUCUUUUGACAACUUUUGAGGUUGGUAUUGAUGAGUGUUUUAAUCAUGUUUUGUGGCUUAAGCAAAUUUCACUUAAGGUCAAUAUUUUUAUUUGGUGUUCGUUCCUGAAUAGAUUAACGACAAAAAUUAAUUUGUUUAGGAGAAACAUAUUGGAUUACAAUUAUUCUUUGUGCACGGCUACUUGUGGCAUGGCGUAGGAUCAUGACCGUCAGUUUUUUACUUGUGCUUUCUACAGUCAACUUUGGGUUUUGAUAUUGAAUUGAUUAGGUUUUUCUAUGACUUUUCGUGGUCUGUUAAUUGAGCAUUCUACUCAGUUUGGAGGUCUCGGGAGCUUUUCCAACAAGUCUCGUUCGAAUUUUAACAUUAUUUGGAUUUGAGUUCUUUUUCUUAUUUGGAAGGAUCGCAAUAUGAGGCAUUUUCAUAAUAAGACGGAACAACUUUCCUCUUUAUUGGAAAAUGUUAAACUUCAAGCUUAUUGAUGGCUAAAAUCGUAUUAUGCCCUUCACGAAUUUGAGUCCUCGGUUUGAAGAUUGAGUCCUUUUUUUUUUUGAAAUUCAAACAUCUUCAUUAGAUAAUAGAAGUGUUACAGACAGUAGAAAUUGCAAUGACAGGAAAAGCAUAUCCAUUCCAUGACUUACAACCAACUUGCAUAGCAUAGCCAACAAGCCUAUGUGCUAAUGCAUUUAGAUCUCUAGAAACAUAAUUAAUAGACACACUAUUGAAUUCAUUCAUAAGUACCUUACAAUCUAGAAUUAUCAAAGCAAUAUAAGCAAGUGAAUUUGACCCUCUAAAACACUCAACAACAGCAAGAGCAUCAGAUUGGAUAAUGAUGUCCUGAAGGCCUCUUUCCUUAGCUAAAUGGAGACACCAACGAAUGGCUAAAGUUUCUGCCAUGACAGGAUCUGUUAUCAGCUCCUCUUUCUUGCAAGCUGAGAAAAAAAUGUUAUCUGGAGCAGCCUUAAACACGCAACCAUAAGUGGUGUAUCCUUCCGGAAAGCAACCUGCAUCAACCUGGAUAAUAUGAGCAUUCUGAAGAUUGAGU